rnacentral:snRNA from 1 species
UCCCAUCAUGGAAGUCCGAG